GGGGUCCCUUUAUAUAGAUGGAGAGCGUAACUAAUUGACAGCGACGUCUGUAACCGUUUGGUAGUGGACUGUUCAGAGCCAUGCGGAGUUUGUUACGGAGAGUAGUGGCAUCAGGGGUUGUUCAGGGCCACGUGAAGUUUGUUACGGAGAGUGGAGUGGUGUCCGUUGUCGUGACUUGCCAGAGAGUGGUAGAGCCCAGAGAGUGGAGUGGUGUCUGUUGUCGCGACUUUUCAGAGAGUGGUGGAGCCACACGGAAUCCGUUGCAGAGAGUGAAGUAGGAUAGUGGCCAUUGUCGUGACUUGCCAGAG
rnacentral:lncRNA from 1 species